GUGCCAGCAGCCGCGGUAAUACGGAGGGUGCGAGCGUUAAUCGGAAUUACUGGGGGUAAAGCGCAUGCAGGCGGCCUGUUAAGUCAGAUGUGAAAGGGCGGGGCUUAACCUCGGAAUUGCAUUUGAAACUGGCAGGCUAGAGUCUUGUAGAGGGGGGUAGAAUUUCAGGUGUAGCCCUGAAAUGCGUAGAGAUCUGAAGGAAUACCAGUGGCGAAGGCGGCCCCCUGGACAAAGACUGACGCUCAGAUGCGAAAGCGUGGGGAGCAAACAGG
rnacentral:rRNA from 1 species